rnacentral:ncRNA from 2 species
UCACCCCGCGGGGGAGAGUCCUCGCACCUGUCGGUUGCGGGGCGCCGAAGGGGCAAACUCCCCGGAACCUCUCAGGCGCCAGGACCUCGUGGAUCAG